rnacentral:rRNA from 1 species
GCUAUUCCUACGGGAGGCAGCAGUGGGGAAUAUUGCACAAUGGGCGCAAGCCUGAUGCAGCACCGCCGCGUGAGGGAUGACGGCCUUCGGGUUGUAAACCUCUUUUAGCAGGGAAGAAGCGAGAGUGACGGUACCUGCAGAAAAAGCACCGGCUAAUUACGUGCCAGCAGCCGCGGUAAUACGUAGGGUGCAAGCGUUCUCCGGAAUUAUUGGGCGUAAAGAGCUCGUAGGCGGUUUGUCGCGUCUGCUGUGAAAUUCCGAGGCUCAACCUCGGGCUUGCAGUGGGUACGGGCAGACUAGAGUGCGGUAGGGGAGAUUGGAAUUCCUGGUGUAGCGGUGGAAUGCGCAGAUAUCAGGAGGAACACCGAUGGCGAAGGCAGAUCUCUGGGCCGUAACUGACGCUGAGGAGCGAAAGGGUGGGGAGCAAACAGGCUUAGAUACCCUGGUAGUCCACCCCGUAAACGUUGGGAACUAGUUGUGGGGUCCUUUCCACGGAUUCCGUGACGCAGCUAACGCAUUAAGUUCCCCGCCUGGGGAGUACGGCCGCAAGGCUAAAACUCAAAGGAAUUGACGGGGACCCGCACAAGCGGCGGAGCAUGCGGAUUAAUUUGAUGCAACGCGAAGAACCUUACCAAGGCUUGACAUACACGAGAACGGGCCAGAAAUGGUCAAGUU